GCAGCAGUAAGGAAUAUUGGUCAAUGGACGCAAGUCUGAACCAGCCAUGCCGCGUGAAGGAUGAAGGUCCUCUGGAUUGUAAACUUCUUUUAUGGGGGACGAAACCUGGAUAUUCUUAUCCAAUUGACGGUACCCUAGGAAUAAGCACCGGCUAACUCCGUGCCAGCAGCCGCGGUAAUACGGAGGGUGCAAGCGUUAUCCGGAUUCACUGGGUUUAAAGGGUGCGUAGGAGGGCAGGUAAGUCAGUGGUGAAAUCUUCGAGCUUAACUCGGAAACUGCCGUUGAUACUAUCUGUCUUGAAUACCGUGGAGAUGAGCGGAAUAUGUCAUGUAGCGGUGAAAUGCUUAGAUAUGACAUAGAACACCAAUUGCGAAGGCAGCUCGUUACACGAAUAUUGACUCUGAGGCACGAAAGCGUGGGGAUCAAACAGGAUUAGAUAC
rnacentral:rRNA from 1 species